GCGAACGCUGGCGGCAGGCUUAACACAUGCAAGUCGAACGCACCUUUCGGGGUGAGUGGCAGACGGGUGAGUAACACGUGGGAACGUACCUUCCGGUUCGGAAUAACCCAGGGAAACUUGGGCUAAUACCGGAUACGCCCUUUACGGGGAAAGAUUCAUUGCCGGAAGAUCGGCCCGCGUCUGAUUAGCUAGUUGGUGGGGUAAUGGCCCACCAAGGCGACGAUCAGUAGCUGGUCUGAGAGGAUGAUCAGCCACACUGGGACUGAGACACGGCCCAGACUCCUACGGGAGGCAGCAGUGGGGAAUAUUGGACAAUGGGCGCAAGCCUGAUCCAGCCAUGCCGCGUGAGUGAUGAAGGCCCUAGGGUUGUAAAGCUCUUUCGCACGCGACGAUAAUGACGGUAGCGUGAGAAGAAGCCCCGGCUAACUUCGU
rnacentral:rRNA from 1 species